GCAAUGAUGGUUCACUGGUAGAUUUCUUGCCUUCCAUGCAGGAGACCUGGGUUUGAUUCCCGGCCAAUGCA
rnacentral:tRNA from 1 species